GUAAUAUGAUACAUAAAAAACCUUAUAUAAAUAUAUAGAUAAAUUGUUUCACGAUUCUAACUUAAAUGUAUUAUUUACAUGAAGUGUUGCUGUUUCUUAUUUGUUGCAGCACAACCUCAGCUUGGAGAUUCAGAUAAAUCUCCAGUGGUCAAAUCCAAGCAACAGAGCAAGACAUGCAGCUGCGCUGGGAGAAGAAAUGCACUGGAGCAGGACUACUGUACAUGUGAGCUGCAACGUCAACAUAGAACGCUCAGCGAAGAGCAGAGAGCUUUGUGCCAAAAGAAAAAAUAUAGAAAAUGCCAAAAGUUGAAUAGAGGAAACAGGAAGGAGGAAAAAGGCAUCAGUAUGCCGAUUUAACACACAGUCACUAAACUCACAAGCUAAAUGCCCCCACGAUUUUAAACAUACAUAUCAAAUCAUAUAUUAAGUAGUGUACUGAACUAUUUUAGUAUAUAUUAUAUUCAGUAACAGUAAUUCUAUUCAAUGUUCUUCCUUCAGAUUUUACAAGUGGCAAAAAAUGUACGUACUGGAAAAAGAAAUGCAAGCGCAUUUAAAAAUAAAGCAUGAUGAUGAAGAGGGAAAUUCAUUUGAAUAAUUUGCUUUUAUUUCAUUUUAUAAAUAAAAUAUAAAACAUUUGACAUUCUUUGAUCUUUUAAAUAAUUGAAAAAUACAUUUAUAAUUUGGAAAUAAUCACACUGAAGACAUAUCAUACUUCUAUAGGAAAAAAAAUAAUAAUUGAAGAUAUUAAGAUAUAUUUGUGAAGCAAACAGAAAUGUAAUUUGGAUAAUUGAUAAUUUGGAAAAGUACUUUGCCUAUAUUUGCCUGAAUUUGGUGCAUGUUAGCUUUUCCGGAUAGAGACUUAAAACCAAAGCUACAAAUCAGAAAAUAAUCCACCUUCUAUCAAUUUCAGCAGAUUUAAUUAGAGUAUAGCAUUCCUGUCCAAAAGUACUGUCCAAUUAAUUAUAGUAAUAAAUGUACCAAAUAUAUAGUUUUUAGAAAAUAAAUAUAUAAGUAAAUAAUUUAGCAUGAUU